UUGAACGCUGGCGGCAGGCCUAACACAUGCCAGUCGCACGGUAACAGGAAGCAGCUUGCUGCUUCGCUGACGAGUGGCGGACGGGUGAGUAAUGUCUGGGAAACUGCCUGAUGGAGGGGGAUAACUACUGGAAACGGUAGCUAAUACCGCAUAACGUCGCAAGACCAAAGAGGGGGACCUUAGGGCCUCUUGCCAUCGGAUGUGCCCAGAUGGGAUUAGCUAGUAGGUGGGGUAACGGCUCACCUAGGCGACGAUCCCUAGCUGGUCUGAGAGGAUGACCAGCCACACUGGAACUGAGACACGGUCCAGACUCCUACGGGAGGCAGCAGUGGGGAAUAUUGCACAAUGGGCGCAAGCCUGAUGCAGCCAUGCCGCGUGUAUGAAGAAGGCCUUCGGGUUGUAAAGUACUUUCAGCGGGGAGGAAGGGAGUAAAGUUAAUACCUUUGCUCAUUGACGUUACCCGCAGAAGAAGCACCGGCUAACUCCGUG
rnacentral:rRNA from 1 species